CCUACGGGAGGCAGCAGUGGGGAAUAUUGGACAAUGGGCGAAAGCCUGAUCCAGCCAUGCCGCGUGUGUGAAGAAGGCCUUCGGGUUGUAAAGCUCUUUUACCCGGGAUGAUAAUGACAGUACCGGGAGAAUAAGCUCCGGCUAACUCCGUGCCAGCAGCCGCGGUAAUACGGAGGGAGCUAGCGUUGUUCGGAAUUACUGGGCGUAAAGCGCACGUAGGCGGCUUUGUAAGUCAGAGGUGAAAGCCUGGAGCUCAACUCCAGAACUGCCUUUGAGACUGCAUCGCUUGAAUCCAGGAGAGGUGAGUGGAAUUCCGAGUGUAGCGGUGAAAUGCGUAGAUAUUAGGAAGAACACCAGUGGCGAAGGCGGCUCACUGGACUGGUAUUGACGCUGAGGUGCGAAAGCGUGGGGAGCAAACAGGAUUAGAUACCCUAGUAGU
rnacentral:rRNA from 1 species